UGCUUAACACAUGCAAGUCAUACGGUGAAAGGGCCAGUUCUUUGCAGCGGUCCUGUACGAGUUGGCGAACCGGACGUGUAACACGUUAUUAACCAGCCCCUUUCUUUUGGAUAACCGCAUGAAACUGUGGCUAAUACUGGAUAUUCUGUGCCUGCUGCAUGGUGGGUGUGGGAAAGAUUGUGCCUUUGGGUGUUUUCCGUGGGGGAUGGGCUCGCGGCCUAUCAUCUUGUUGGUGGGGUGAUGGCCUACCAAGGCAGUGACGGGUAGCCCGCCUGAGAAGGUGGACCGUCACCCUGGGACUGAAACACAGCCCAGACUCCUACCGGAGGCAUCACUGGGGAAUAUUGCACAAUGCGCGCACGCCUGAUGCACCUACACCUCGUGAGGGAUGGAGGCCUUCCGGUUGUGAACCUCUUUCUCCAGUGAAGCAAGCCUGUCCCUUUUGUGGCUGGGUUUACUGUAACUGGAUAACAAGCGCCGGCUAACUACGUGCCAUCAACCUCCGUAAUACGUAUGGCGCGAGCGUUGUCCGGAAUUAUUGGGCGUAAAGAGCUCGUAGGCGGCUGGUCGUGUCUGUCGUGAAAUCCUCUGGCUUAACUGGGGGCUUGCGGUGGGUACGGGCCUGCUUGAGUGCGGUAGGGGAGACUGGAACUCCUGGUGUAGCGGUGGAAUGCGCAGAUAUCAGGAAGAACACCGGUGGCGAAGGCGGGUCUCUGGGCCGUUACUGACGCUGAGGAGCGAAAGCGUGGGGAGCGAACAGGAUUAGAUACCAUGGUAGUCCACGCGGUAAACGUUGGGCACUAGGUGUGGGGGGCCUUUUCCGGGUCUUCCGCGCAGUAGCUAACGCAUUAAGUGCCCCGCUUGGGGAGUACGGCCGCAAGGGUAAAACUCAAAGGAAUUGACGGGGGCCCGCACAAGCGGCGGAGCAUGCGGAUUAAUUCGAUGCAACGCGAAGAACAUUACCAAGGCUUGACAUGUGCCGGUCGGCUCCGGAGACGGGGUUUCCUCCUUGUGGGGCCGGUUCACAGGUGGUGCAUGGUUGUUGUCAGCUGGUGUAGUGAGAUGUUGGGUUAAGUCCCGCAACGAGCGCAACCCUUGUCCGGUGUUGCCAGCAUGUUGUGGUGGGGACUGGCGGGAGACUGCCGGGGUCAACUUGGAGGAAGGUGGGGAUGACGUCAAAUCAUCAUGCCCGUUACGUGUUGGGCUUCACGCAUGAUACAAUGGCCGGUACAGAGGGCUGCGAUACCGUGAGGUGGAGCGAAUCCCUUAAAGCCGGUCUCAGUUCGGAUUCGGUGUCUGCAACUCGACACCGCGAAGUUGGAGUCGCUGGUAUUCGCAUAUCAGCAACGAUGCGGUGAAUACGUGCUCGGUCCGUGCCCGCGCCGCCCGUCA
rnacentral:rRNA from 1 species